rnacentral:rRNA from 1 species
UACGAAGGGGGCUAGCGUUGCUCGGAAUUACUGGGCGUAAAGGGCGCGUAGGCGGACAGUUUAGUCAGAGGUGAAAGCCCAGGGCUCAACCUUGGAAUUGCCUUUGAUACUGGCUGUCUUGAGUUCGGGAGAGGUGAGUGGAAUGCCGAGUGUAGAGGUGAAAUUCGUAGAUAUUCGCAAGAACACCAGUGGCGAAGGCGGCUCACUGGCCCGGUACUGACGCUGAGGUGCGAAAGCGUGGGGAGCGAACAGG